rnacentral:lncRNA from 1 species
AAAAGCAAAAGGAUAAAGAGAUACAUCUCUUAAGUGUCCAUGGUGUUCUCAAGAAAUUGUAGAAUGUGCUGGACUGCAAAAUCCUGAGAUGGGGCUGUACUGAAACCAGAAGCCUGCCAGAUGGAAAAUAUGAACCACUGUCAAGCAGACCUGGGACAAGGGGGAACUGAGGACUGAGCUCUGACCAUUGCUCUUUGUUCUAAGUUGAGCAGAGGGGCCUGGAGAGAGUCAUGCCUGCAGGCCAUCAAUCUUGCUAAAUUGGUCACAAUGGCUCAGUAUAUAUUGUGGCUUGGUCUCUUGACCUGACUCUGUGAUAGCAGCACACGGUGAUUAACAGGUUUCCUUAUCUUAACUAACACAUGUUAAAGCCAAACCUUAACACUCCUUUCUGCUAACCCCAAGUUUUUAGACAAAGGCUUACUCCCUUAACCAAUUGCAAAUCAAAGAAUCCCUGAAUUUACCUAUGACCCGUAAGCCCCUGCUUUAAGAUAUCCCACCUUUUGGGGCCAAACCAAUGUAUAAUCUUCAUGUAUUUAUUUACAGUUUUGUACAUAACUUCUGCUUUCCUAAAAUGUACCCCUGCCUUUAAAAAUCCUUGCUUGUUACCCAUCAAGGAAGUUCGUGUCUUAGGCAUUAACUGCCCAUUCUCCUUGUUUGCCACCCUUCUUUCUCUCGCUGCAAACCUCAGUGUCUGUGUUUGCUUUACUGCACCAGGUGAGUGGACGGUUCAGUAACAACUUGACUAUAGUAGAGUAUUAAUACACGAUUAUCAUGGUAAGUGUGUGAAUAUGUAGGUUAGGUCCGGUGUAUUGAGUGCAUUGAAAUAUGGCUAGAGGCAUAAUAUAGAGCUGCUUCAUGAAUAGUAUCACAACAAUAAUAAAAAAGACAUAAAAAAUAG